ACGCUCGACACCUACGGGAGGCAGCAGUGAGGAAUAUUGGUCAAUGGACGCAAGUCUGAACCAGCCAUGCCGCGUGCAGGAUGACGGCUCUAUGAGUUGUAAACUGCUUUUGUACGAGGGUAAACGCAGAUACGUGUAUCUGUCUGAAAGUAUCGUACGAAUAAGGAUCGGCUAACUCCGUGCCAGCAGCCCGGUAAUCUGAGCGGGCUGGCAAGGC
rnacentral:rRNA from 1 species